rnacentral:rRNA from 1 species
AUUGAACGCUGGCGGCAGGCUUAACACAUGCAAGUCGAGCGGGGUGAUGGUGCUUGCACUAUCACUUAGCGGCGGACGGGUGAGUAAUGCUUAGGAAUCUGCCUAUUAGUGGGGGACAACAUCUCGAAAGGGAUGCUAAUACCGCAUACGUCCUACGGGAGAAAGCAGGGGAUCACUUGUGACCUUGCGCUAAUAGAUGAGCCUAAGUCGGAUUAGCUAGUUGGUGGGGUAAAGGGCUACCAAGGCGACGAACGUUAGCGGGUCUGAGAGGAUGAUCCGCCACACUGGGACUGAGACACGGCCCAGACUCCUACGGGAGGCAGCAGUGGGGAAUAUUGGACAAUGGGGGGAACCCUGAUCCAGCCAUGCCGCGUGUGUGAAGAAGGCCUUAUGGUUGUAAAGCACUUUAAGCGAGGAGGAGGCUCUUUUGGUUAAUACCCAAGAUGAGUGGACGUUACUCGCAGAAUAAGCACCGGCUAACUCUGUGCCAGCCGCCGCCGUAA